AUUCAACUGAUGAGUCCCAAAUAAGACCAAACGCGCGUUCUGGGU
rnacentral:hammerhead_ribozyme from 1 species